UAUUAAAUGAAUAGUUUAUCAAACUGCCCCUCUGUAUCUCUUCAAAGGAGAAUCUGCAACUGAUGUGGUCAGACUCUGCCAAAACUCUUGACCAUGACUACACUGAGACAGCUCACAAGCUCGAAGUUAAGCGUGUGCUCAAAUGUUCCAGUGGAUCACUUCCAAAGUCCUCUUGUCAGAAUCAAGUAAAGGUCACCACAAGGGGUGUUGUAUCCUGUACAUCCAUUUGCUCUGUCAAGAUUUUGAUAUGGAGGAACCUUAGACUCUUUUUGCAGAAGUUGAAAGCAGUGGAGAAUUGCAGAAAGUACAUGAAAAAAAACAUUGCACAGCUGGAAAACACUGCUUGGUCAUGUUGCAGUAAUAUGAUCACACAUAUGGGGGUGGAGGGCGAGAGGAAGAAGUUGUUAAAUUUACUAUUGUACUUCUGCUUGGACAAGUAAAACUAGCCUGUCUACUCAAAACAAGGUAAUCAACACUGCGAAGCUUGAAGCAUUUGCUUUAAAUGAGGCUUUCCAGAAUCAGAUAACUGUUGUUUGUGGAAGAACAUGGGGCGAAGUUGGGAGUCAUUUGGCCCCAGAUGUUCAAAGGUAUUUAGGCACUUGCCUCUCUAAUUUCAGUGGAAGCUGAGCACUGUGCCCUUUGUGUUCUGUCAAACACGUUUUGCCAAAAGGACUGUUGUGAUAGCAAGUGAUGAUAGCUAGACAGUGAUCCUAAUAAGCCCUAUAUAUACAAUUUAACUCAGGUGUGUUUGUGGCAAGGUAAAAAUGGGAGCUGGCAGAAUAAAAGGACCAAAUUUUCUUCA
ensembl:lncRNA